GACAGAGGGUGCAAACGUUGCUCGGAAUUACUGGGCGUAAAGCGCGUGUAGGCGGUUCCGCCAGUCUGGUGUGAAAGCCCGGGGCUCAACCCCGGAAGCGCAUUGGAUACUACGGAGCUUGAGUCCUGAAGAGGAGAGCGGAAUUCCCGGUGUAGAGGUGAAAUUCGUAGAUAUCGGGAGGAACACCAGUGGCGAAGGGCGGCUCUCUGGACAGGUACUGGACGCUGAGAGGACG
rnacentral:rRNA from 1 species